rnacentral:rRNA from 1 species
UACCAGCACCCCGAGUGGUCGGGACGUUUAUUGGGCCUAAAGCAUCCGUAGCCGGUUCUACAAGUCUUCCGUUAAAUCCACCUGCUUAACAGAUGGGCUGCGGAAGAUACUAUAGAGCUAGGAGGCGGGAGAGGCAAGCGGUACUCGAUGGGUAGGGGUAAAAUCCGUUGAUCCACUGAAGACCACCAGUGGCGAAGGCGGCUUGCCAGAACGCGCUCGACGGUGAGGGAUGAGAGCUGGGGGAGCAAACCGG